rnacentral:rRNA from 1 species
AACUGGGAUUAGAUACCCCACUAUGCCUGGCCAUAAACACUGAUAUGAUCUUACACGCAUUAUCCGCCUGGGUACUACGAGCGCUAGCUUAAAACCCAAAGGACUUGGCGGUGCUUUAGACCCACCUAGAGGAGCCUGUUCUA